GAGCGUUUAAAGGCGUGCUCCUCGUCCAUGUCCUCUGCCGGCCGCUUACCUGUGAGGAAAGACCGUCAAUGAGAGCUUCGGACAAUCCACUACACAAAUUGGCGUCACGAACAGGAUGGUUUAGAAGCUACAGGUCGACAGCCGCUCCCACUCUCUCUGUCAGGCAGACAGUGUGCUGCACGCGCGCAUAACAAGGUAAGCGUUUUGCUUAAAGUGUAAACAUUUUCUGCCUGGAGAGAGCCGGAUCGAUAAGACUAAUUGCUGAAUCUAUUUUUGAUAAAAGAUAGGUUUAGUCAGGUUCUCCAAAAACAACCUGGAAUGGGGUAAAUUAUGGUUGGAUUGAGUUGUUUUAUAUGUGAUCAUUUGUCUGUGUGUUUGUUGAAAACUUGUGAUUUCUUGUUUUUAACAUAAGGGGAUUGUUAUUAGAAUUUUGGUGUUUUGGAGUGUAGAAGCACAGACGAUGUGAGACAAAAAAUUUAUUUUAACCUCUUCAUCCUCUGUCGUUGCUGGCAGAGGAUGCUUCUUUCUGCAAGUGCAUCAGAUUUAGCCAGAGUUGGACAAAGAUAAAUUUAAGGCAAGGUUUGCUAACUGGUGUGACAUUUGGCCCAUAUAAAAUUGAUACGUCUGUGAAAGUGCGAGACACCUGUCUAUGUGGAAACUGCAGCGGUCCCUAGUCCUUGUGACUCAGCGUGUAAAAAAGCCUCUUAUUAGGUGACCAUUCAGUGACUCCGGUAAAGGAGAUCAACUGAGCCAAGUUGUCACGAAUCUGUUUAAAUGGCUGCAGAAUAGACAGUUGGCGUCUCGGGCUCCAUAUGGUAGAGCUUUGGUGAAACUUGGUGAAACUGUAUGGGACUGACCAGACACGAUGUCUGUAGGAUUGCCGGGUGAUUCCUGGUGGUCCUAUGGCGCCUUAGAGGCCAGUGAUCCGUGUUGGUCAGUUUGAUAACGCAGGUGCUGCUCCAAUGAAACGGGUUAAUCGCCGUUUUAUGAGCAAUGAUGGAACCUGGUUUUUGUGAUAUGAGACGGCCGAUUCCACAAAAGCACGCGUGCAUUAGUUGUUUAUAUUUGUCCGGACAAUGGGGUGGUAUGGUAAUUUAACAAUGUGUGUGUAUAAUGAUGAAUGCUGAAAUGUGUGUGUAUUGAGUGAUUCAGUUUAUGUUGGUACAUUUAGAUAUAUGCGUAAUUUAAUAACUUUUGUGUAGCACCUGGUUUCUUAUCUGGUUUAAUUCCCCCCUUCCUUUUCUUCACCCCCUCUCGCAACCUCCCUUCACGCUUUUUCUCACAGCCCCGCUAUCUGUAAAAGUUGGGAAAUUGUCUAAAAUGUGUGUGCGUGUGAGAAAGUAGACAAAGUUUAUGUACAGAAAACAUAUGAGUGAAUGAUCUAUCCAUUUAAUUAUCUUAUUCCGCUCUCUGAGGUUGGAUCGCGGGGGCAGCAGCCUAAGCAGGGAAUUCCAGAAUACCCUCCUUAAACUUGACCCAAACUUGACUAUUUGUCCAUCUAAGAGUGAAUGAUAAAUGUUGUUCUUAUUAUUAAGGUUCUGAUAUGAUACAGCUGUGCUUCUGGAUGAGAAAAAUAGUUGUCUAUUGCAUUUACUUUUAACUGUGCUGGUAAAUUCUCUGUGUGAGUGACUGUGUGACGCAUAUAAAAAAAAAUAAAAUAAAAAAAAAUAAAAAAUAAAAAAAGGAGUCUCAGUUGGAAGACAUUUUAAGAUAAGGGAUGUGUGCGGGUGACGAGGCUGUGGCGUGGGCCGAAGAGGUGUGACAAUGUUAGGAUAGCAUUGAGCUAGGAUAGCAUUGAGCUAGGUUAGCAUUAAGCUAGGUUAGCAUUGAGUUAGCAUAGCAUUGGAUUAGUUUAGCAUUGAGCUAGGUUUAAAGAAUACAAAAAUAAAUAAAUAAAAAAUAUAUAUAUAAAUAUAUAUAGUGGACAGCUGUACUCAAAUCUGAACAGAAGGCUGACAGGUUGGUUUUGAUAAUAGGAAAAAUAAAAUAUACUGUAUAUGAAUAAAUAAACAUUUAAAUAUCAAUACAUACAUUUGGACUGGGACAUUGAAGCAUUGUUAAAUUCAUUAGUCAUUAAUUAUGUGUGUAAUAUACUGUAUUGAACAGCCUUGUUGCUUAUCUGAUCCAUCCAGUUCCUGUGUGGAAGUUGAGACAAACACACACGCACGCACAUCCUAGAUUAGGACACAUUGUAACUUUGAAUUAAUAGUUAUACAACAAAUAAAUUAAUAAUAUUGAAUUAAAUUUGAUAAAGAUAAAUUGAUUAUACAUUGACAUUUUAAUUUUUUUUAGGAAUAAACACACAAUAAAAUAAAAGUAAAAUUUAUAUUCUAAAACAUCUAAGGGCAUCUGUGCAAACUGUGAAACAUGUAGUCUGAAGAAGUACAGAUAAGCGUCGACACUCAGCGCCACAGUCAAAACAAAACGUAGAGAAGCGUUAAACAAAUUCUAAUCAGAAGGAAGACAGACCAAAAAAUGAGAACUUAAAUAAACGGACAGCAAGUAAACCAGAAAUAAUAAUGUAAAUAAAUAACAAAGAAAGCAAAUUUCUAUGUGACAUUGGUGCAUGUAGAAUUACAUGUAGAGAAUAAAACUAAAUGGAAAUAACUGUCUGCAAGAUGAGCAUGACGUCAUGAAUUGUGCUCGGGUUAGUAAUAGAUAGAUAGAUAGACAGAUAAAACGUUAUUGAUUCCUUCAGGAGAGUUCCCUCAGGAAGAAGAAGUAAAAAGUAAACAGUAACUAAUAAGGGUAUAAAUGGAAACAAAAUAGAAAAAUAUUACAAGGAGAAUAAAAAUAGAACAGUAAAAUAAGAGAAACUAGGCAUUAACGACCAUGAUAUAAAAAAGUAUUGCACUGUUAUUGUUUUGCAUUCCCUGUCAUCCUAGCCCCCCCAAAGAGGAGUUGUACAGUCUAAUGAUGUAUGAGACAAAGGAUUUUUUUUAUAGGCUAAACCAGUAGUUCUCAAAGGAGGGUAUGGUGUUUCCGCCCGGACAAAAAAGGGGGGUACUUGAAGGUAUGCCAAGGGGUACCUGAGAUUUUAAAUAUUUUAAAAAUAGCGACAAUUCAAAAUCCUUUAUAAAUAUAAUUAUAGAAGAAUAAUUCUUCAACAAAAUAAAUAUUUAGAAUCAAGUUCACGAGCCCAGAUGGAUCUCUAUUACAAUAUCCAAAGAAGGUUGAUGAUUGAUUAUAUGUAUAGAAAUCUUUAUUAUAAUUUAAUCACUUGUUUAAUUUUUAAAACGUUUUAGUUAUUCUUAUUUUUUUUGUUUGUCCAAAUAAGUCAAGUAA